AAAGAGGUAUCCGAAAAUCUUAAAGAGUAGGAA
rfam:Chryseobacterium indologenes NBRC 14944 DNA, contig: CIN01S11.